UACAGAGGUGGCAAGCGUUGUUCGGAAUUACUGGGCGUAAAGGGCGCGUAGGCGGUUCGAUAAGUCCCGUGUGAAAUCCCUCGGCUCAACUGAGGAACUGCACGGGAAACUGACGGGCUUGAGUUCGGGAGAGGGAAGCGGAAUUCCGGGUGUAGCGGUGAAAUGCGUAGAUAUCCGGAGGAACACCGGUGGCGAAGGCGGGUCUCUGGGGCAACAACUGACGCUGAGGAGCGAAAGCGUGGGGAGCGAACAGG
rnacentral:rRNA from 1 species